UGCGGGAUUGUGUAAGGGUAGCACGAGUGACUCUGACUCACUUUGUCUGGGUUCGAAUCCUAGUCCCGCAGCCA
rnacentral:tRNA from 1 species